AACCUGGUUGAUCCUGCCAGUAGUCAUAUACUUGUCUUUAAGAUUAAGCCAUGCAUGUCUCAGUUCUUUAAUUUUGUAAACAAUAGAUUGCGAAUGGCUCAGUAUAACAGUUACCAUUUGUUUGAAUGACUAUUUAUGUGGAUAACUUUGGAAUUGCUUCAGCUAAUACAUGGUACUUAUAUUUAAAUCUAUUAUUUUGAUUUGUAUAUAGAUUUGAUUUUUAUCAAACUAAAAUGUGCGUACAUUAUGGAAGGUUUAUAAUUAUUACUAACCGAUUGCUUUACAAGCGGCAAUUCAUUAAAAUUUCUGACCUAUCAGUUAAUUAGUAGCGUCUUUAUCUUUUGAGGCAUUUACGGGUAACAGAGAAUUAGGGUCCUAUUCCGGAGAGGGAGUCUGCGAAAUAGCUACCACAUCUAAGGAAGGCAGCAGGCACGUAAAUUACCCAAUUUUGAUUAGUAGAGGUAGUGACAAUAUAUCAUAAUAUUUUGCCUAUUGGUUAUGUAAUUGUAUUGAGAACAAUAUAAAUAUAUUAUCUAUAAGUUAGUGGAGGGCAAGUCUGGUGCCAGCAGCCGCGGUAAUUCCAGCUUCAAAAGUAUAUGCUAACAAUGCUGCAAUUAAAAAGUUCAUAGUCGAACUCUUCAGGUUAUAAUUUUUAUGUGAUCAUAAUGGAUUAUAAAGAAGUUGAUUUAUCUUAAUAUAAAUAGUAUUACUCUGUUAGCAUUAAUUUUCUGACAGUAAUUAAAGUAAUUUUUACUUUGAAAAAAUUAGAGUGUUCAAAGCAGUCGUUCGAAAUUAUUCUAAAGCACGGAAUGAUAAGUAAUGAUGCUAGUUAAUAUAUAAUGGUUUGAGAGGUUGAUGUAAUUAUUUCUAGAGUUUUUCGGAGGGAUUAGUAUUUUAUCGUUAGAAGUGAAAUUCUUAGAUUGUGAAAAGAUUAACUACAGCAAAUGCAUUCAUCUAGGCUAUAUUUUUUUAUCAAGAACGUAAGUUGGGGGAUCGAAGACGAUCAGAUACCGUCGUAGUCUCAACUAUAAACUAUAUCAACUAGGGAUUAGCGAUUAUUUUUUAAACUUGUUAGAACCUCAAGAGAAAUCAAGAGUGUCUGGAUUCCGGGGGGAGUAUGGUCGCAAGGCUGAAACUUAAAGGAAUUGACGGAAGGGCACCACAAGAUGUGGAUUCUGUGGCUCAAUUUGAUUCAACACUGGAAAGCUUAUCAGGUCUAGACAUUGGAACUAUAAACAGACUGAUAGCGCUCUCUUGAUUUUGUGGGUUGUGGUGCAUGGCCGUUCUUAGUUGGUGGUGUGAUUUGUCUGGUUAAUUCCGUUAACGAACGAGACUAUCUAUUGUUUAUUCGCAUCAUAAUUUAUUUAGAAUUUUGCUUCUUUGAGAAACUAGAUUUGCUUAAAAAGCUGGAAGUGUGUAGCAAUAACAGGUCUGUGAUGCCCUUAGAUGUUCUGGGCAGCGCACGGGCUACAAUAGGAGAAUUAGUACGCUUACCAUCUUAAUUCGAAAAGACCUGAGAAAUCAUGAAACUUAUUUAUAAUUGGGCUUACGCAUUGAAGUUGUUAUGUACAAACCAGGAAUAUCUAGUAAAUAGAUGUCAUUAACAUUGAUUGAAUAUGUCCCUGCCUUUUGUACACACCGCCCGUCGCUCCUACCGAUUGAAUACGUUGGUGAUUGGAUUGGAUAAAGAGAUAUCUUCUAAAAAGACAUCAAAACGGUAAACAUUUGAAAACUAGAUUAUUUAGAGGAAGGAGAAGUCGUAACAAGGUUUCCGUAGGUGAACCUGCAGAAGGAUCA
rnacentral:rRNA from 1 species